rnacentral:rRNA from 1 species
UACAGAGGUCCCGAGCGUUGUUCGGAUUCACUGGGCGUAAAGGGUGCGUAGGUGGUGGGAUAAGUCGGAUGUGAAAUCUCGGAGCUUAACUCCGAAACUGCAUUGGAAACUGUCCUGCUAGAGGGUUGGAGGGGGGACUGGAAUACUUGGUGUAGCAGUGAAAUGCGUAGAUAUCAAGUGGAACACCGGUGGCGAAGGCGAGUCCCUGGACAACACCUGACACUGAGGCACGAAAGCUAGGGGAGCAAACGGG